AUGGCUCAGGACGAACGCUGGCGGCGCGUCUUAAGCAUGCAAGUCGAACGGCAAGAGGUAGCAAUACCUCCUAGAGUGGCGGACUGGUGAGUAACACGUGGGUGACAUACCCUUCAGAUGGGGAUAGCUAUUAGAAAUAGUAGAUAAUACCGAAUACGAGCACAGGGGUUAGAGAUCUGUGAGGAAAGGAGCUAAGGCUCCGCUGAAGGAAUGGCCUGCGGCCCAUUAGCUAGUUGGUGAGGUAAGAGCCCACCAAGGCGAUGAUGGGUAUCCGGCCUUAGAGGGUGAACGGACACAUUGGGACUGAGAUACGGCCCAGACUCCUACGGGAGGCAGCAGCUAAGAAUAUUCCGCAAUGGACGAAAGUCUGACGGAGCGACGCCGCGUGGAUGAAGAAGGCCGGAAGGUUGUAAAAUCCUUUUGAAACUGAAGAAUAAGCGUUGUAGGGAAUGACAGCGUGGUGACAGUAGGUUUUGAAUAAGCAACGGCUAAUUACGUGCCAGCCGCGGC
rnacentral:rRNA from 1 species